rnacentral:rRNA from 1 species
AUUGAACGCUGGCGGCAUGCUUUACACAUGCAAGUCGAACGGCAGCACAGGGAGUUUGCUCCCGGGUGGCGAGUGGCGCACGGGUGAGUAAUACAUCGGAACGUGUCCUGUUGUGGGGGAUAACUGCUCGAAAGGGUGGCUAAUACCGCAUGAGACCUGAGGGUGAAAGCGGGGGAUCGCAAGACCUCGCGCAAUUGGAGCGGCCGAUGCCCGAUUAGCUAGUUGGUGAGGUAAAGGCUCACCAAGGCGACGAUCGGUAGCUGGUCUGAGAGGACGACCAGCCACACUGGGACUGAGACACGGCCCAGACUCCUACGGGAGGCAGCAGUGGGGAAUUUUGGACAAUGGGGGCAACCCUGAUCCAGCCAUGCCGCGUGCAGGAUGAAGGCCUUCGGGUUGUAAACUGCUUUGUCAGGGACGAAAGGACCGUGUUAAUACCAUGGUCUGCUGACGGUACCUGAAGAAUAAGCACCGGCUAACUACGU